UACGUAGGAGGCAAGCGUUGUCCGGAAUUACUGGGUGUAAAGCGCGUGUAGGCGGCAGGCCAAGUCUGUGGUGAAAUCGCUCGGCUCAACUGGGCGGGGUCCAUGGAAACUGGUCAGCUGGAGGACGGUAGAGGUGAGUGGAAUUCCCGGUGUAGUGGUGAAAUGCGUAGAGAUCGGGAGGAACACCCGUGGCGAAGGCGGCUCACUGGGCCGGUCCUGACGCUGAGACGCGAAGGCGUGGGGAGCGAACGGGG
rnacentral:rRNA from 1 species